rnacentral:rRNA from 1 species
GACGAACGCUGGCGGCGUGCUUAACACAUGCAAGUGGAGCGACGAACCAGGGCUUGCCCUGGUCCGGAGCCGCGAACGGGUGAGUAACUCGUGGGUAACGUACCCCGAUGACUGGGACAACCCGGGGAAACCCGGGCGAAUACCGGAUGUGCCCUCUCACAUCAGUGAGGGGUGUAAAGUAAGCUUCGGCCUCCGCGUCGCGAUCGGCCCGCGGCCCAUUAGCUUGUUGGUGAGGUAACGGCUCACCAAGGCAGCGAUGCGUAGCUGGUCUGAGAGGACGAUCAGCCACACUGGGACUGAGACACGGCCCAGACUCCUACGGGAGGCAGCAGUGGGGAAUCUUGCGCAAUGCGCGAAAGCGUGACGCAGCAACGCCGCGUGGGGGAAGACGGCCUUCGGGUUGUAAAACCCUUUUAGUUGGGAAGAAGGUCGGGCGGUUAAACGCCGCUCAGGCUGACGGUACCUACACAAGAAGCCCCGGCUAACUACGUG